rnacentral:rRNA from 1 species
UACGGAGGAUGCAAGCGUUAUCCGGAAUUAUUGGGCGUAAAGCGUCCGCAGGUGGUUGUACAAGUCUGCUGUCAAAGCGCGAGGCUUAACUUCGUAAGGGCAGUGGAAACUGUGCGACUAGAGUACGGUAGGGGUAGCGGGAAUUCCCAGUGUAGCGGUGAAAUGCGUAGAUAUUGGGAAGAACACCAGCGGCGAAAGCGCGCUACUGGGCCUGUACUGACACUCAUGGACGAAAGCCAGGGGAGCGAAAGGG